rnacentral:rRNA from 1 species
GGGGAAUUUUGGACAAUGGGCGCAAGCCUGAUCCAGCAAUGCCGCGUGCAGGAUGAAGGCCUUCGGGUUGUAAACUGCUUUUGUACGGAACGAAAAGCCUCUCUCUAAUACCCAAGAUGAGUGGACGUUACUCGCAGAAUAAGCACCGGCUAACUCUGUGCCAGCAGCCGCGGUAAUACAGAGGGUGCGAGCGUUAAUCGGAUUUACUGGGCGUAAAGCGUGCGUAGGCGGCUUUUUAAGUCGGAUGUGAAAUCCCCGAGCUUAACUUGGGAAUUGCAUUCGAUACUGGGAAGCUAGAGUAUGGGAGAGGAUGGUAGAAUUCCAGGUGUAGCGGUGAAAUGCGUAGAGAUCUGGAGGAAUACCGAUGGCGAAGGCAGCCAUCUGGCCUAAUACUGACGCUGAGGUACGAAAGCAUGGGGAGCAAACA